rnacentral:rRNA from 1 species
UUCCGCGUGAGUGAAGAAGGCCUUCGGGUUGUAAAGCUCUUUCGCAAGGGAAGAAAACUUAUGAUCGAAUAAAUCAUGAGGUUGACGGUACCUUGAUAAGAAGCACCGGCUAACUACGUGCCAGCAGCCGCGGUAAUACGUAGGGUGCGAGCGUUAAUCGGAAUUACUGGGCGUAAAGCGUGCGCAGGCGGUUUUGUAAGUCGGAUGUGAAAUCCCCGGGCUCAACCUGGGAACUGCGUUCGAAACUGCAAGGCUAGAGUGUGUCAGAGGGGGGUAGAAUUCCACGUGUAGCAGUGAAAUGCGUAGAGAUGUGGAGGAAUACCAAUGGCGAAGGCAGCCCCCUGGGAUAACACUGACGCUCAUGCACGAAAGCGUGGGGAGCAAACAGGAUUAGAUACCCUGGUAGUCCACGCCCUAAACGAUGUCAACUAGUUGUUGGUAGAGUAAAAUCUAUGAGUAACGUAGCUAACGCGUGAA